CGGGUGCGUAACACGUGAGCAACCUGCCUUUGGUGGUGGGGGAGUAGCCGGGCUAACGCCCGGGUAAUACCGCAUACGGUUGCCGAGGGGAGUCCCUUGGCAAAGAAACCUCCGGGGCACAGAGAGGGGCUCGCGGCCUAUCAGCUAGUUGGGGGGGUAAUGGCCCACCAAGGCGACGACGGGUAGCUGGUCUGAGAGGAUGGCCAGCCACAUUGGGACUGAGAGACGGCCCAG
rnacentral:rRNA from 1 species